UACGUAGGUGGCAAGCGUUGUCCGGAUUUAUUGGGUUUAAAGGGUGCGUAGGCGGUUUUAUAAGUCAGUGGUGAAAUACGGCAGCUCAACUGUCGAGGUGCCAUUGAUACUGUGAGACUUGAGUACAGACGAGGUAGGCGGAAUUGACGGUGUAGCGGUGAAAUGCUUAGAUAUCGUCAAGAACACCGAUAGCGAAGGCAGCUUACUAGGCUGUAACUGACGCUGAGGCACGAAAGUGUGGGGAUCAAACAGG
rnacentral:rRNA from 1 species